rnacentral:lncRNA from 1 species
CACGCCCUCCCAUCUCUCCCUCCUUCCUGCCGUCCCCCGCCUGAGGGAGGGGAGCGGUGCAGCAGACAUCCGAGGGCAGCUGGGACCCCCUGACUCAGCCGACGGGUGAGUCAGGCUCCCUGCAGGCCACACCGGACCCCCCCAGGGCGGGGAUUUCCCCAAGAUGAGAAAUCAGCCACCGGAAGUCACGCCGGACCUUGGACGGGCAGACAGAGGCUGGGAGGAGUUCUGGGUGCAGAGCCCCCCAACCUGUGCUCUCAUCUCUUGCUCUGGGGUAAGCCAGUGGCCAUGCUAUAAGGACACUCAAGCCACCCUAUGAAGAAGCCCACAUGAAGAGGAACUGAGAUAUCUGGCCAACAGCCAGCCAGUCACUGAGCCUGCCAACCACGCUGUGGCAGGUACCUCCAGCCCCAGACACCUGCAGCCUCCACUGAAAGCUCAAUGGCAGCCUCAUGAGACCCUGGACCGGAACCACCCAACGAAGCGGCUCCUGUAUUCCUGAUUGACAGAAACUACGGGAUCAUAAAUGCUUGCUGUUCAGUCUGCCAAGUGUUGGCGUGAUUUGUUAAACAGCAACCAGUAACUAAUACGCCACCCAUGGCUGCCGCGUUCCUGCUGUGGGGCCAGCACUAUUCCAUGCUUAGAGGCUCCAUCAAUACCUGUGAUGGACUAAAUGGUCAGUACAAACAACAGCUCCUCUGUAAUGGUAUGAGGCAGACAGGUUUCUAAAGGCAAUAUGCUAAGGUGCAAACUCAAGCAUGAUGGCUCAUGCCUGUAAUCCUAGCACUUUGGGAUGCCAAUGCGGGUGGAUCACCUGAGGUUAAGAGUUCGAGACCAGGCUGGCCAACAUGGUGAAACCCCAUCUCUACUAAAAAUACAUAAAGUAGCCCGGUGUGGUGGUGGGCGCCUGUAAUCCCAGCUACUCGGGAGGCUGAAACAGAAGGAUCACUUGAACCCGGGAGGCAGAGGUUGCAAUGAGCCGAGAUCACGCCACUGCACUUCAGCCUGUGUGACAGGAGUGAAACUCCAUCUCAAAAAUAAAAACGAAAACAAUAACAACAACAGCAACAAAAAACCAUUGCAUUGUGCACAUUAAAUGAAUUGUAUGGUAUGUGAAUUCUAGCUCAAUAAAGCUUCUUAUGCUAAAACAUGACGAGGAAGAAGAGGAGGAGGAGAAGAGGCAAAGUCACUGGUGCCCAAGGAAUGGCACCAGGAGUGGUCUCCAGGAAGGCUGGCCACCUGUAGGGCUGGGAGAGCUCUGUGAUGCUGACAUCAGGGGCCUUCUUCAUGCCUGAGAAACAGGACAUGGGCUAAGGGCGGCUAACCAAGGCCUGGGAGAAUAUUGAGAGGUAAACAGGCGAUGUGGGUGUGGGGCGCUCAGCCUACUUGGCCAAAGGGUGAGUUCUUGCUAAUUUCACAGGGAGAGCCUGACUGGUCUCAAGCACCUGAGGCCCAGCAUGAGAAGUCAACAUCCCUGACUUCUCAUCCUCUAUAGAAAUUUCCCCCAGACCAGGCGCGGUGGCUCACGCCUGUAAUCCCAGCACUUUGGCAGGCCAAGGUGGGCGGAUCACCUGAAGUCAGGAGUUCAAGACCAGCCUGGCCAACACCGUGAAACCCCGUCUCUACUAAAAAUACAAAAAUUA